ACUGUACGACUGUAUUGCUUCAUUGAUGUGACUCACUGUGUUGCAGGUGGCAGUGAGGGGAGUGGUGAGGGUGGUGGAGGGGCGGGCUCAGCAGGCCACCUUCAACCGGCGUGACCUGUUGUCCUCACCUGCUCCACACCUGCCCUAGUACCACUACAGAGCCAUGUUGCGGUGUACGUAUUUCAAUUCGGGGCAGCUGAGUCCUGAUUUACGCCUACCGAUGCUGCCUGGGCUCACUCCACUGGAUCCCUAGGCUAGUCAGUGAACAAGUCACGGGCGGCCAUUCCACGUUCGUCCGCCAACCUCUGCCUCUCACUCGCCUUGCAUUUUAUGCAGAACAGAAACUAUCAGCAUCA